AACGGCCGUACCAUGCUGAAUAUACCGGUUCUCGUUAGAUCACCGAAGUCAAGCAUCAUUGGGCGCGGUCAGUACUUGGGAGGGUGACCACCUGGGAACACCGCGUGCC